UUGCUUUGGCAGCACAUCUACAAAAAAUGAAAACGAUACAGAAAAGAUUAGCAUGACCCCUGCACAAGGUUUAGACACACAUUCAUGCACAAAAAAUCAAAUACAU